rnacentral:lncRNA from 10 species
UCGGGCGCCCCUCCCCCAGCCUCGCUGCUGCCUUGCAGUUUGAUCUCAGACUGCUGUGCUAGCAAUCAGUGAGACUCCGUGGGCGUAGGACCCUCCGAGCCAGGUGCGGGACAGACUCUCGUGGUGCGCAGUUUUUUAAGCCCGUCGGAAAAGCGCAGUAUUCAGGUGGGAGUGACCCGAUUUUCCAGGUGACUGUUCUUGGAUCUCAGAACCCCUUUAUCCACCUGCAUGGAGAGCCAGAAGUGCCAGGACAUUUAGGUCCCUCUUGGAUCUUAAACAAUGAAUAAUGAAUGAGGGAAUAUGAAAGUCCCAGAUCUCUUGCCUCACACCAGAACAACUCUGGG